AAAAAACAGCCUAACGCAACAUGGUUUCUUAGGUUCUUGUUUAAAAAAUUGGUUUCCGAGGUGCAGGAUUUUUUUUAAACGCAGACUUCUGUUCGCUAGGGUCGGGAAGGAGAUGUCGGAAACUAAAAAAAAAAGAAGAUUACCUUGGCAAAAGUAAAAACACGUAAAAAAAAAAACUCAAGAAAAAACCGCAACACAAAAAACCGUCCCGAUAAGAGCUGCUUCUUUUACUUAAAAACUGAAAGAAGAACGUGUUCCAGUUUUUGUUGUUGUGUUGUGAUUUUACUUUGUCUUAAUAAUUCAGACUCUUUUUUUUUUAUUUCCCUUCUUCCAGUGAGCGGCAGUAGUUCUUGCAUAAAUUUCCUUGCGCCAAAGAUGUAAAAACCCCAAUAAUAAAACAGAACCGCCAUGGCACGGCUUGUUUCAUAUCACGGCGAAUAAUUUUUUGUCCUUUUUUUUUUAUUUAUUAACCAAAAACCAAAACAAAAACAAAACUAAUGACGUUGGAGAAAUAAAUU
rnacentral:misc_RNA from 1 species